ensembl:lncRNA
AUGUCAUUUACCUGCUCUGCUGGGAAAGCACUGUGCAACCACAUUGUGGCAUUAUUGUUUCAAAGUGCUCACUACUGUACCAUGGGCUUCAAAACAGUGCCAUUGUCACUGUCAUGCACCAGCUCACUGCAGACCUGGCACCGGCCUAGGACACAUGGAAUUGCUCCUGAGGCAACAAAUGACAUGGUAGGGUGUAAACCAGUACCAAAGACCAAGGAUCAUGCCUGAACUGGAGUGAAAUGUACACUGAACAGAGCAUAUGGUGGGCCUCUUCCAGAUCGUCACAUCAUUGCCAGUGCUGAGAAACUUCAAGACAAACGCCCACAACCAGGCAUUUGCAAAUUGCUGCACGGGCUUGAGGCCCUUAAUUUUGUGGACUCUAAAUUUGGCCCUGUGCCAUUUGGUUCUUUGCUCUCUUACCAGUGCCUUGUCCGUGGAGAGUCUACUGCAAAAUCCUUAGCUGCUCGCAUUCUGAGAG